CAGUGGUAGAAUGCUCGCCUGCCACGCGGGCGGCCCGGGUUCGAUUCCCGGCCGAUGCAAAGUACUUUUUUGCCUUAUGAAUUAUCCUUCGCGAGGGUACGGCCUGAGAAAACUCCUUCAGGGCCUGUUGCAAAAAUAUGAUGUACAAUGCAAAUUUGUACUACAAACUUAUGAUGAAUCACUGUGUCUGUCGCACAUCAGUCCAUUGUAGUAAAUACAAUAAGUAGGUCUAGAGCUUUCGAACGGAUCUUAGAUGCCAAUAUCAACCAAAAGUAUUUAAAACAUCGGUGGUUCAGUGGUAGAAUGCUCGCCUGCCACGCGGGCGGCCCGGGU